rnacentral:rRNA from 1 species
UACGUAGGGGGCGAGCGUUGUCCGGAUUUAUUGGGCGUAAAGAGCUCGUAGGCGGUUCGAUAAGUCGGACGUGAAAUCUCCACGCUCAACGUGGAGGGGCCGUUCGAUACUGUCGUGACUCGAGUCCGGUAGGGGAGUGUGGAAUUCCCGGUGUAGCGGUGAAAUGCGCAGAGAUCGGGAGGAACACCCGUAGCGAAGGCGGGUCUCUGGGAAACAACUGACGCUGAGGAGCGAAAGCGUGGGGAGCGAACAGG